UGAACGCUGGCGGCAUGCCUUACACAUGCAAGUCGAACGGUAACAGGUUAAGCUGACGAGUGGCGAACGGGUGAGUAAUACAUCGGAACGUGCCCAGACGUGGGGGAUAGCUCGGCGAAAGCCGGAUUAAUACCGCAUGAGCUCUGAGGAGGAAAGCGGGGGACCGUAAGGCCUCGCGCGUUUGGAGCGGCCGAUGGCAGAUUAGGUAGUUGGUGGGGUAAAGGCUUACCAAGCCUACGAUCUGUAGCUGGUCUGAGAGGACGACCAGCCACACUGGGACUGAGACACGGCCCAGACUCCUACGGGAGGCAGCAGUGGGGAAUUUUGGACAAUGGGCGCAAGCCUGAUCCAGCAAUGCCGCGUGCAGGAUGAAGGCCUUCGGGUUGUAAACUGCUUUUGUACGGAACGAAAAGGCGCCUACUAAUACUGGGUGUUGAUGACGGUACCGUAAGAAUAAGCACCGGCUAACUACGUGCCAGCAGCCGCGGUAAUACGUAGGGUGCGAGCGUUAAUCGGAAUUACUGGGCGUAAAGCGUGCGCANGCGGUGUUGUAAGACAGUUGUGAAAUCCCCGGGCUCAACCUGGGAACUGCAUCUGUGACUGCAAUGCUGGAGUGCGGCAGAGGGGGAUGGAAUUCCGCGUGUAGCAGUGAAAUGCGUANAUAUGCGGAGGAACACCGAUGGCGAANGCAAUCCCCUGGGCCUGCNCUGACGCUCAUGC
rnacentral:rRNA from 1 species